UUCCUCAGUGGAUGAUGAACGUGUAUUGGU
rnacentral:piRNA from 2 species